rnacentral:misc_RNA from 1 species
UAAUAAGUGUUUUAUGGCACUUUUUAAAUCCAUAUCCACCUUGUGUGCAAUGUCAGUCGGUUUUCUUUUUCGUCAAGAAAAAAAGGACCGACCAAACAUCAACUUAUUCUAAUUGAACUUUUGUCUGAAAACUAUUAUGAAUAAACUAAUUCAAAAUA